UUGUUCCUUGGAGACUGAACAGGGAAGGAGAAAAACAGUCUGCCAUUAGGAAUCCAUUUAGGACGGCUAUUCUUUCUGUAUUCUACUGAAGGGAAGACAACUGCCCCACUGAGUCACACAGCGUGACCUGCUGUAGGGCCGAGGCCCACCUGUCCGCUGCAGUGAUUGGACCGAGUUCACUAAGCUGCGCUGGGAAGGGUUGUCUCAGGGGAGCUCAGCUCAGGCGGAACAGGGACUGAAACAGGUAGCUGUCUAUAUAGAGUGCAUGACUCCCUCAGACUGGACACGUGCAAAAUGACGAAGGCAGCCAGCCAAUCAAUGCCAACUCAGCAAACAGCUCUUCAGCUCAUUGAAGAACUCCACAUAUUUGGUGGCUGAAUUUAUAGACCAUUUUACAGCCUACAGGGUUAUAUGACCACGAGGUAUCCAGAAUAAAGGUGACUCACUGCAGAGCUAUGAUCCUGCUCAGAACCUUGUUACUGACUUGUGUCCUCCUGGUCCUGGAAGCUGUCAGAAGGUGGCAAGUCAGUGGCAUUUGCCCACAGAGGAGAAACUGCACUUUUCACUCCGGACUUGGAUAACUGACUUGUUAUAAUUUCAACCUGCCACCUGCUUCCCAUUUGAAAACAGCCUGCUGAUCUGAGGCCAUCACAAGAGGUGGUUUGGGCUUCUGCAGAGAAUUCUUCCACAGGUAUUCAUUCACCUUUUCGCCCCUUGGAAUCUACCUCUUACAGAGUCUAAGUAGCCAUCCUGUGGAUACAUUGUCUCCUUAAGACAAUAUUUCCUUUUCCUGAGAUUUCACCCAGGCUUUUAGUCAUCUGGCCCUCCCUGCAGUGCACCCUCACCCCCACG